rnacentral:rRNA from 1 species
AAUGACGCUCGAACAGGCAUGCCCUUUGGAAUACCAAAGGGCGCAAUGUGCGUUCAAAGAUUCGAUGAUUCACUGAAUUCUGCAAUUCACACUACUUAUCGCAUUUCGCUGCGUUCUUCAUCGAUGCCAGAACCAAGAGAUCCGUUGUUGAAAGUUGUA